rnacentral:rRNA from 1 species
UUGGAGGGCAAGUCUGGUGCCAGCAGCCGCGGUAAUUCCAGCUCCAAUAGCGUAUAUUAAGGUUGUUGCAGUUAAAAGGCUCGUAGUUGAAUUUCGGAAUCUGUCCAUCGGUCGGGCUUCACUGUCCGUACUGGUGUGGUGGGUUCCUACCUUCUGAAUAACCAGCAUGCCAUUCAUUUGGUGCGCUGGGGAAGCAGGACUAUUACCUUGAAAAAAUUAGAGUGCUCAAAGCAGGCCAGUGCCUGAAUACAUUAGCAUGGAAUAAUAAAAUAGGACGGCAUGGUUCUAUUUUGUUGGUUUCUAGGAUCACCGUAAUGAUUAAUAGGGAUAGUUGGGGGCAUUAGUAUUCAAUUGUCAGAGGUGAAAUUCUUGGAUUUAUUGAAGACUAACUUCUGCGAAAGCAUUUGCCAAGGAUGUUUUCAUUAAUCAAGAACGAAAGUUAGGGGAUCGAAGACGAUCAGAUAUCGUCGUAGUCUUAACCAUAAACUAUGCCGACUAGGGAUCGGACGAUGUUAAUUUUUUAAUGACUCGUUCGGCGCCUUACGGGAAAC